GGAGGGGUUCCCGAGUACUAAAGGGAGCAGACUGUAAAUCUGCUUAAGCACUGCCUUCGAUGGUUCGAAUCCGUCCCCCUCCACCA
rnacentral:tRNA from 1 species